rnacentral:rRNA from 1 species
UGCAAGUCGAGCGGAUGAAGGGAGCUUGCUCCUGGAUUCAGCGGCGGACGGGUGAGUAAUGCUUAGGAAUCUGCCUAUUAGUGGGGGACAACAGUUGGAAACGACUGCUAAUACCGCAUACGCCCUACGGGGGAAAGGAGGGGAUCUUCGGACCUUUCGCUAAUAGAUGAGCCUAAGUCAGAUUAGCUAGUUGGUGGGGUAAAGGCCUACCAAGGCGACGAUCUGUAGCGGGUCUGAGAGGAUGAUCCGCCACACUGGGACUGAGACACGGCCCAGACUCCUACGGGAGGCAGCAGUGGGGAAUAUUGGACAAUGGGGGGAACCCUGAUCCAGCCAUGCCGCGUGUGUGAAGAAGGCCUUUUGGUUGUAAAGCACUUUAAGCGAGGAGGAGGCGCUCUAGAUUAAUACUCUAGUAGCGUGGACGUUACUCGCAGAAUAAGCACCGGCUAACUCUGUGCCAGCAGCCGCGGUAAUACAGAGGGUGCGAGCGUUAAUCGGAUUUACUGGGCGUAAAGCGUACGUAGGCGGCUUUUUAAGUCGGAUGUGAAAUCCCUGAGCUUAACUUAGGAAUUGCAUUCGAUACUGGGAAGCUAGAGUAUGGGAGAGGAUGGUAGAAUUCCAGGUGUAGCGGUGAAAUGCGUAGAGAUCUG